AUACGGAGGGUGCAAGCGUUAUCCGGAAUCAUUGGGUUUAAAGGGUCCGCAGGCGGAUUAAUAAGUCAGUGGUGAAAUCCUCUCGCUCAACGAGAGAACUGCCAUUGAAACUGUUAGUCUUGAAUUCGGUCGAAGUAGGCGGAAUGUGUCAUGUAGCGGUGAAAUGCAUAGAUAUGACACAGAACACCGACAGCGAAGGCAGCUUACUAGACCUGGUUUGACGCUCAUGGACGAAAGCGUGGGGAGCGAACAGGAUUAGAAACCCCAGUAGUCC
rnacentral:rRNA from 1 species